AGCGAACGCUGGCGGCAGGCCUAACACAUGCAAGUCGAACGGAUCCUUCGGGAUUAGUGGCGGACGGGUGAGUAACACGUGGGAACGUGCCCUUUGGUUCGGAACAACUCAGGGAACCUUGAGCUAAUACCGGAUGUGCCCUUCGGGGGAAAGAUUUAUCGCCAUUGGAGCGGCCCGCGUCUGAUUAGCUAGUUGGUGAGGUAAAGGCUCACCAAGGCGACGAUCAGUAGCUGGUCUGAGAGGAUGAUCAGCCACAUUGGGACUGAGACACGGCCCAAACUCCUACGGGAGGCAGCAGUGGGGAAUCUUGCGCAAUGGGCGAAAGCCUGACGCAGCCAUGCCGCGUGAAUGAUGAAGGUCUUAGGAUUGUAAAAUUCUUUCACCGGGGACGAUAAUGACGGUACCCGGAGAAGAAGCCCCGGCUAACUUCGUGCCAGCCGCCGCGGUAA
rnacentral:rRNA from 1 species